GGGGAAUAUUGCACAAUGGGCGCAAGCCUGAUGCAGCGACGCCGCGUGAGGGAUGACGGCCUUCGGGUUGUAAACCUCUUUCAGCAGGGAAGAAGCGAAAGUGACGGUACCUGCAGAAGAAGCACCGGCUAACUACGUGCCAGCAGCCGCGGUAAUACGUAGGGUGCGAGCGUUGUCCGGAAUUAUUGGGCGUAAAGAGCUUGUAGGCGGUUUGUCGCGUCUGCAGUGAAAAUCCGGGGCUCAACCCCGGACUUGCUGUGGGUACGGGCAGACUAGAGUGUGGUAGGGGAGACCGGAAUUCCUGGUGUAGCGGUGGAAUGCGCAGAUAUCAGGAGGAACACCGAUGGCGAAGGCAGGUCUCUGGGCCACAACUGACGCUGAGAAGCGAAAGCAUGGGGAGCGAAC
rnacentral:rRNA from 1 species